rnacentral:rRNA from 1 species
AGAGUUUGAUCCUGGCUCAGGACGAACGCUGGCGGCGCGCCUAACACAUGCAAGUCGAACGAGCGAGAGAGAGCUUGCUUUCUCGAGCGAGUGGCGAACGGGUGAGUAACGCGUGAGGAACCUGCCUCAAAGAGGGGGACAACAGUUGGAAACGACUGCUAAUACCGCAUGAGCCCACGACCCGGCAUCGGGUAGAGGGAAAAGGAGCAAUCCGCUUUGAGAUGGCCUCGCGUCCGAUUAGCUAGUUGGUGAGGUAACGGCCCACCAAGGCGACGAUCGGUAGCCGGACUGAGAGGUUGAACGGCCACAUUGGGACUGAGACACGGCCCAGACUCCUACGGGAGGCAGCAGUGGGGAAUAUUGCACAAUGGGGGAAACCCUGAUGCAGCGACGCCGCGUGGAGGAAGAAGGUCUUCGGAUUGUAAACUCCUGUUGUUGAGGAAGAUAAUGACGGUACUCAACAAGGAAGUGACGGCUAACUACGUGCCAGCAGCCGCGGUAAAACGUAGGUCACAAGCGUUGUCCGGAAUUACUGGGUGUAAAGGGAGCGCAGGCGGGAGAACAAGUUGGAAGUGAAAUCCAUGGGCUCAACCCCGGUACUGCAUUGGAAACUGUCGUACUAGAGUGUCGGAGGGGUAAGCGGAAUUCCUAGUGUAGCGGUGAAAUGCGUAGAUAUUAGGAGGAACACCAGUGGCGAAGGCGGCUUACUAGACGAUAACUGACGCUGAGGCUCGAAAGCGUGGGGAGCAAACAGAAUUAGAUACCCUGGUAGUCCACGCCGUAAAC